rnacentral:misc_RNA from 1 species
AACGCACAUUGCGCCCCUCGGUAUUCCGUGGGGCAUGCCUGUUCGAGCGUCAUUUACCGCCUCAAGCUCAGCUUGGUGUUGGGCGUCUGUCUCGCUGCUCUGCGCGGACUCGCCUCAAAGUCAUUGGCAGCGAUCUUGUCAGCUUCUCGCGCAGCACAUUGCGCUUCUUGGAGCCCUGGCGGGUUGGCAUCCAGUAAGCUACUCCACGACUUGACCUCGGAUCAGGUAGGGAUACCCGCUGAACUUAA